AUGCCACCAAAGUUGUGAAAGCGGAGGCUCGACUGUACUGCCGCCAUCUCGGCUCACUGCAACCUCCCUGAUUCUCCUGCCUCAGCCUGCCGAGUGCCUGGGAUUGCAGGCGCGCGCCGCCACGCCUGACUGGUUUUUGCAUUUUUUGGUGGAGACGGGGUUUCGCCGUGUUGGCCCGGCUGGUCUCCAGCUCCUGAACGCGAGUGAUCUGCCCGCCUCGGCCUCCCGAGGUGCCAGGAUUGCAGACGGAGUCUCGCUCACUCAGUGCUCAAUCUUGCCCAGGCUGGAGUGCAGUGGCGUGAUCUCGGCUCGCUACAACCUCCACCUCCCAGCCACCCGCCUUGGCCUCCUGAAGUGCCGAGAUUGCAGCCUCUGCCCGGCCGCCACCGCGUCUGGGAAGUGAGGAGCAUCUCUGCCUGGCUGCCCAUCGUCUGAGAUGUGAGGAGCCCCUCUGCCCGGCCGCCCAGUCUGGGAAGUGAGGAGCACCUCUUCCCGGCCGCCAUCCCGUCUAGGAAGUGAGGAGCGUCUCUGCCCGGCCGCCCAUCGUCUGAGAUGUGGGGAGCACCUCUGCCCGGCCGCCCCAUCUGGGAUGUGAGGAGCGCCUCCGCCCGGCAGCCGCCCCGUCUGGGAAGUGAGGAGCGUCUCCGCCUGGCAGCCUCCCAGUCCAGGAGGUGGAGGGCAGCCCCCGCCCGGCCAGCCGCCCCUUCCGGGAGGGAGGUGGGGGGCGCCUCCGCCCGGCCACCGCCCUGUUUGGGACGUGGGGGGCGCCUCUGCCCGGCCGCCCCGUCUGGUCCACAGCUGCUGCCCACACCAUUUCUGGGAGAAGCCUCACCAUGACUUCUGCCCUCCCAAGAAGGCCAUGAGUCGUUCCAGUCGUUCCAGUCAUCCACAGCUGCUGCUCACACCAUUUCAGGGAGAAGCCUCGCCACGACCCCUGCCCCCACAAGAAGGACAUGAGUCGUUCCAGGCUGCCUUUGGGUUUCACCAAAUUUCCAGUCCUGGGGGGCAUUAGAUUUGACUUGGCUUUUAUGGAGAGGUGAGGCAAAUGCCCACCCUUCAACUCUUCUAUCCUGGACCACACUUUUAAUGGCACAAACUGUUAUUUUAGAACUGUCAGGAGUUCUUCCUAUGGCUGGAGAUAAAGUGUGUAUCUCACCUUUGCGGAGGCUGGAAAGCUGCUGUAGGAGAGGGGAGAGCUGGGUUUUGCACCCUAGGGUAGAAGCUCUUUCUGGGAUUGGGGCACACUGUCCUUCAUUCUCACUGAGGAACCAUUUUUGUCCCAUUGUGGAAGGCUUGACCCAGGGAAGGAAAUCAAAUGAAGAUGCUUCAGACUGAGAUGCUAAAAUUAUUUUUCCAUUAUGUAAGCUGGAUAUAUUUUUAGCAGCUCUGUAAUUUUGCAGAUAUAUUUUUUAAAGUAUGUAUGUUGUUUUUUGUUUGUCUCACUUUGUCACUCAGGAUGGAGUGCAGUGGCACGAUCUGGGCUCACUGCAACCUCUGCCACCCAGGUUGAGCGAUUCUUCUGCCUCAGCCUCCUGAGUAGUUGGGACUACAGGCGUGAGCCACCAUGCCCAGCUAAUUUUUUGUAUUUUUAGUAGAGACAGGG
rnacentral:lncRNA from 1 species